rnacentral:rRNA from 1 species
UACGUAGGGGGCAAGCGUUGUCCGGAAUCAUUGGGCGUAAAGCGCGUGUAGGCGGCCAGAAAAGUCCGCUGUGAAAACUCGAGGCUCAACCUCGAGACGUCGGCGGAAACCAUCUGGCUAGAGUCCGGAAGAGGAGAGUGGAAUUCCGUGGUGUAGCGGUGAAAUGCGUAGAUAUCAGGAGGAACACCGGUGGUGUAGACGGCUUUCUGGACCGUAACUGACGCUGAGACACGAAAGCGUGGGUAGCAAACAGG